UACAGAGGGUGCAAGCGUUGUUCGGAAUUAUUGGGCGUAAAGGGCGCGUAGGCGGUUCGGCAAGUCUCUAGUGAAAUCUCUGGGCUCAACUCAGAGUCUGCUGGGGAAACUGCCGGGCUUGAGUGUGGGAGAGGAGAGUGGAAUUCCCGGUGUAGCGGUGAAAUGCGUAGAUAUCGUAAGGAAGACCAGUGGCGAAGGCGGGUCUCUGGACAGUUCCUGACGCUGAGGCACGAAGGUCAGGGGAGCAAACGGG
rnacentral:rRNA from 1 species